rnacentral:tRNA from 1 species
UCCCUAGUAGUCCAGUGGUUAGGAUUCCACGAUUCCACUGUAGGGGGCGUGGGUUCGAUCCCUGCUCGGGGAA